rnacentral:rRNA from 1 species
UGCAAGUCGAACGGUAACAGGAAGCAGCUUGCUGCUUCGCUGACGAGUGGCGGACGGGUGAGUAAUGUCUGGGAAACUGCCUGAUGGAGGGGGAUAACUACUGGAAACGGUAGCUAAUACCGCAUAACGUCGCAAGACCAAAGAGGGGGACUUUCGGGCCUCUUGCCAUCGGAUGUGCCCAGAUGGGAUUAGCUAGUAGGUGGGGUAACGGCUCACCUAGGCGACGAUCCCUAGCUGGUCUGAGAGGAUGACCAGCCACACUGGAACUGAGACACGGUC